UACAGAGGGUGCAAGCGUUGCUCGGAUUUACUGGGCGUAAAGCGUACGCAGACGGUUUGGUAGGUCGGGCGUGAAAGCCCUGGGCUCAACCCAGGAAAUGCGCUCGAAACCGCCUCACUCGAGUGUAGGAGAGGAAAGCGGAAUUCCCGGUGUAGAGGUGAAAUUCGUAGAUAUCGGGAGGAACACCAGCGGCGAAGGCGGCUUUCUGGCCUAUUACUGACGUUCAGGUACGAAAGCGUGGGUAGCAAACAGG
rnacentral:rRNA from 1 species